AUUUAAUAAAACAAAAAGGGAUAGAGAGAACAAAGAACAAAUAAAUAAACCCACCAGGCUCCUUUAUCUUUUCCAUCUCUUCCCUUUCUCUUUCUCUGCAACUCUCUUGUUUGAUGUGAUUCUCCACCAUAUCUCUAAGAACCCAUCAAACUUUACAAAAAGAUAGAAAUCUCAAUUACAACCAUGGUUUUCUCAUCCAUUCCUGUCUAUCUAGAUCCACCCAACUGGCAGCAGCAAUCAAAUCAGCAACCUGUAGGAGGCAACAUUGAGAACUCGCAGCUUCAACUACCGCCGCUACCUAGUUUAGCUGGCGGCUAUGGCGGUAGUGGCCCAGGCUCCAUCAGACCUGUUUCGAUGGCGGAGCGAGCUCGAAUGGCUAAGAUUCCUCCACUUGAAUCAACCCUAAAAUGUCCAAGAUGUGAUUCUACAAACACUAAAUUUUGUUACUUCAAUAACUAUAGCCUUUCACAGCCUCGCCACUUUUGCAAGACUUGUCGCCGAUACUGGACUAGAGGUGGUGCACUAAGAAACGUACCAGUCGGAGGUGGCUGUAGAAAAAACAAAAGAAGUAAAGCAAGCAGCAGAUCGAAAUCACCUGCUGUAACUGGGGGUCAAUCCGGCGGGUCUACCUCAUCUACUACACCUGCUUCUACUCGUCGCAUAGCUGAUAUCAUCGGCCACAUGCCACUUCCUCCCUCACAAUUACCCAUUUUGUCCCCUUUACAUCAUCUUAGUGGCUACAAUUCGGGGAGUAUUGGUUUGAAUUUUGGAGGAAUUCAAGCUCCUGGGGUGGCAACUGUUACUGGUGGUGGUAAUAGUGGAAAUAAUGAUAUUGAAUUUCAAGUUGGUGCUGCUUCAGGUGGUUGUGCUGGUGGUUCUUCUUUAUUAUCAGGUGGGCUUGUUGAGCAGUGGAGAUUGCAACAGGUGCAGCAAUAUCCUUUCAUUACUGGCAUGGAACCAACGACUUCUUUAUAUCAGUUCGAGAGUGAGGGCACGGUGGCGCCUAGUAGUUAUGUUGCCCAGCUUCGGGCAAAGCCAGUGGAUUCUGGGACGACUCAAUCGAUAAAUGUGAAAAUGGAACAAAAUCAAGGGAUAAAUUUAUCACGAAAUUUUUUGGGAAUGUCAGGAAAUGAUCAAUAUUGGAAUACCAGCAAUGCAUGGACAGAUGUCUCUGGAUUCACUUCAUCUUCUACCGGCCAUCUCUUAUGAUUUUUUUGUUUAUCUCAAUAGUUCUCUCAGAAAGAAACUCCACUCAUCCCUCGUGAUUUAUUAUUAUUUUUCUUCUUUCAGUAAGGCCCUACCUCUCAAGAUCAAACCACUAAAGAUCUUAAGAAGUUGACAUGGAAAUUGGAUAUCAAUGAAAGAAAUUUAGAACGAUGUUCAUCGUGAGGGAAAUAAAGCAAACAAGAAGCCAAGAAGAAUCUUGGAUCAUGGAUCAUAUACAGUUGAAGAGUUUCUCUCAUCUCAUAAACCUUGUUUAUUUGCAGCAUUCUAAGAGAAGAGCUCAUGUCAUUUAUCAAAGCCUCUGCAAAACAACAAAAGAGAGUUCAGUCUUCAUCCUUGACAUUUUGCAGAUGGCCCCCAUAAGAUAGAGCUAGCUUAACAACGUACCCUUUAAUAAUUGGGCGCACGCCUUGCUUCUUUUGGCCAAUACACUUAGCAGCUCUUGUGUCAUCAACACACACUCAGUUCCUUUAAUCAUCCAAUGGGCAAUUUCAGAUUCCAAUGUAACUCUUAGUCUGGCAUUGUUUUAGGAUAAUUUACCUGAGCUUAGUUAUUUUUCACAUAUGCUUGAUUACUACAGAUUUUAAUUCGAGAGAGAGAGAGAGACAAAAAACAUAAUGGUGAGUAUGAAUUUUCAAUUACAUGACUAUCGGCUUAAGAGAUGCACUUAUUUGUUGCUUUGUUGCCUCGGGUGACGAAAAUGAUUGUGUAAUUAUAGGAAAUUUGACCAAAUCAGAUGUACUUAUUUGUUGUUUGUGCAGUGCAAAAUCAGAAUGUUUGUAUGUUGAGAUGGACAAGAAGACUGAAGACGCCGCUAAAGAAACGCCAAAAUGCCACUAAAAACCAUGCAAAAGAAGCCACAUCGUUGGAUUCUCCAAAUUUAUUUGUUUGCAAAUUUCAAACGUAAGACCAGAUCAACACAAGAGUCAAAAGUUGCUUCACUAGAAGAACAAAAUUAUCUGACUUUUUUAACCUUCUGUUUGAUAUUGGUUCCCUUGUUUACACACAGACACACAGACACACAGACACACUCAUAUAUGCAUAAAUUAUCGCAAAAAAUUUCAGCCCAUUUCUUCAUAUUUGUGAUCAUGAUGUCACUGGAAUACCUCUUAUUGGUUAACAGCAUAUUAAAUGAGAGACUGGAAUCUGAUUUUUUGGAUCCGCUUUUGCAAU